UCCUUGGUGGUCCAGUGGUUAGGACUUCGUGCUCACACUGCUGGGGCCCCAGGUUUGAUCCCUGGUUGGGGAA